rnacentral:tRNA from 1 species
CAGGAUAUAGUUUAUAAAAUAUUAAUUUUGGAGAUUAAAGUUAAAGAUUGUCUUUUUUCCUGA